rnacentral:rRNA from 1 species
CACGUAGGGCGCAAGCGUUGUCCGGAAUUACUGGGCGUAAAGCGCGUGUAGGCUGCGGUGUAAGUCGGACGUGAAAGCCCUUGGCUUAACCAAGGAAGUGCGUCCGAUACUGCGUCGCUUGAGUGUCGGAGGGGCGGCGGAAUUCCCGGUGUAGAGGUGAAAUUCGUAGAUAUUCGCAAGAACACCAGUGGCGAAGGCGGCUCACUGGCCCGGUACUGACGCUGAGAUGCGAAAGCGUGGGGAGCAAACAGG